rnacentral:sRNA from 1 species
AAAUGACUUCUCCCUUCGGCGGCCAACUUAAGGGAGAAACUCAA